UACGUAGGUGACAAGCGUUGUCCGGAUUUACUGGGCGUAAAGAGCGCGCAGGCGGUCGUUCAAGUCGAGUGUGAAAGCCCCCGGCUCAACUGGUGAGGGUCAUUCGAUACUGAUCGACUCGAAGGCAGGAGAGGGUAGUGGAAUUCCCGGUGUAGUGGUGAAAUGCGUAGAUAUCGGGAGGAACACCAGUGGCGAAGGCGACUACCUGGCCUGUUCUUGACGCUGAGGCGCGAAAGCUAGGGUAGCAAACGGG
rnacentral:rRNA from 1 species